rnacentral:lncRNA from 10 species
UCAUCCCUCCACUCCCUCCCUGACCCCCGCCGGCCGGGGGCGCCCGGCACACGCCGCAGCUCCCGCAGCCUCCCCGAGGGGGGAGCCCGAGGAGGAAGGCGACAAAUGUCACCUGCUCCGGCCACGCGAGGAACUUCUGAAAAGUUCUCAGGCAACUGGGUCAAAAGGAAACUCACCCGCGGAUUCUGACUGUCCUAGAUGAAUGCUGUCAGCCACUAGCCCAGCCCUCAGGAUUCCAUUCUA